AUGUUCCUUAUGCAGAGUGUAUAACGUUGAUCCUCCAUUGCAUCUUUUGCUUGAAGCAACUUCAGUGAUGGUGGAAAUAAGGACGAACUGGAAGCAGAACUUAAAGAAUAAGGCAUGGCAUAUCAACACCACAAUCGUGCAGGGAAGAUACGAUGUUUGCUGUCCUAUGAUGUCAGCCUGGGAUCUUCAUAAAGCUUGGCCAGAGGCAGAUUUUCGGGUAAGAAGAGAGUGUUGCUUUUGGUCAUUGGUCUCGCUGACAUUCACAAUAUUGUUCUGCAUGCUAUGAUAAUUAUCUAUGAAGUUUCUUGAUAGAGAUUUUAAUGUCCCAUUUUAUAGUGAAGCAUAUCUUUUAAUUAUAAAUUUCAAAUGAUGAUUUUGUUGUUUACUUAUAUAUCUUCUUAUCAAGAAGAAUGUUUCCACUUUAUCUUGUGCAAAACUUGGUCAAGUUACUGAAUCAUAUUAUGACACUUGGUUAAAUGUGUUGAUACCAAGUAUGUAAAAUGAAAAGUAUG